AAGCGUUUGGAUUCAUUUUUUUGUUUGUUAAUUCAUUCUUUUCCUUCUCAUCUGCAGACAAUGGCCAAAGUGAUUACCUCCAUGCUCAAGUUUUCUCCAGAUCAAGCGCAAAAGGUUUUGGAUAAAGAAGACUCGAAAGCGAUUCCUUGGUUACGAUGAGUGGCUAAAUAAUUCCUGUACUUUGAGGUGAAAAUCUGCUGCUGCUGCUGAAGGGGAAGACUGCCAUGGAUUUGAUCGAGUCCUUCUCUCUGCAUUUCUUGUCAUUUUAUAUCUGUGUGUGUGUGUGUGUGUGUGUGUGUGUGUGUGUGUGCGUGCGUGCGUGCGUGUGUGUGUGUGGGCUGCAGUAUGUGUGACUAUAUGUAAAGGUAUGAGGGAAUUAUGAGAGAAUAUACCAGAAACACAAAUCUUCCAUGAAUCCAAUUUUACUUUAGGAUUAAGCUUAAUUUAUUUGUUUUAGAUGAAGAAAAAAUGAGUUUCUGUUUAUUUCAGAAUGUUUGAAUAUGGUUUGGCUUGUGCAAUAAAUGAUAUUAUCAUAAUGUAUUGAUGCUGACAGUCAGUUGAUUAAUAGGUUUCUGUGUCGUGCUGUUGUCUGAAUCACUUCCUCUGUAAAACGUUAAACGACCCUUUAACUGUGCACUCGCACCACGUUAAGAUUCUGGACCUUGUUUGUCUAAUGCAGCCUUUUUAUGCUUUAUAUUCUGACACUGAUAUAGAAACCCCCCAAAACUCACAACUGUAAAUUGUACUGUGAUUAUGAGAACUGUACUAUAGGGCACCAUAUGACUUGCUAUACAUUUUCAGAUUAACAGAUUAAAUCUUAUUUACAGAA